UUGGUGCUUUUGUUGAGUCAAACUCAAGAAAGAAGCAGUGUAUGAGCUCGAUAAUGACAUCAUAAAGGCUAAACAUUGUUGGGUCUCGAAUCAAAUUUGUUGAGUCCGCUCUCAAAAAUCAAGAGACUUUGCUUCGAUCUCAUGAGACGAUACUUAGUGAACAUACGACUUAGGAGAAUGGUCAUUCAACUAAGUUUAAUUCUCU
rnacentral:lncRNA from 1 species